rnacentral:rRNA from 1 species
AGUCGAACGAAGCACCUGAGAAUGAUUCUUCGGAUGAAGUCUCUUGUGACUGAGUGGCGGACGGGUGAGUAACGCGUGGGUAACCUGCCUCACACAGGGGGAUAACAGUUGGAAACGACCGCUAAUACCGCAUAACCCGCUGGUGCCGCAUGGCACUGACGGAAAAGAUUUUAUCGGUGUGAGAUGGACCCGCGUCUGAUUAGCCAGUUGGCAGGGUAACGGCCUACCAAAGCGACGAUCAGUAGCCGGCCUGAGAGGGUGAACGGCCACAUUGGGACUGAGACACGGCCCAGACUCCUGCGGGAGGCAGCAGUGGGGAAUAUUGCACAAUGGGGGAAACCCUGAUGCAGCGACGCCGCGUGAGUGAAGAAGUAUUUCGGUAUGUAAAGCUCUAUCAGCAGGGAAGAAAAUGACGGUACCUGACUAAGAAGCCCCGGCUAACUACGUGCCAGCAGCCGCGGUAAUACGUAGGGGGCAAGCGUUAUCCGGAUUUACUGGGUGUAAAGGGAGCGUAGACGGUGAUGCAAGUCAAAAGUGAAAGCCCCGGGGCUCAACUCCGGGACUGCUUUUGAAACUGUGUGACUGGA